UUCAAGGCUACCAAAAUCAAGUUGGGCUAAGCUUGUAAAAACUUUGUAUGAGGUUGAAAACGUUUAUUUUAGGGCAAAUUACUAUUUAGUCCAUGGAUUAUAGUGUAAUUGACAACUUAGUCCUCAUCAUUGUUGUUAGAAUCGUAUGAUUCUCGAUUUGAUUCAUACAAUUUGAUUUAAUUCUCCAUCUCAGUGAAUUGAAUCUAUGGGGGGAGACGGUUUAAAUGAGUACUGAAACACUUCAAAUUGUG
rnacentral:misc_RNA from 1 species